ensembl:lncRNA
AGCAAAUUCAUAUUUAAAUGCUAUGACAAAUAUGAACACUACCACAAUUUAAUGAUUUCCCUUUAUAUUAAUUGAUGAAUACAAUUAUCUUAAAAUGUAUUCCAAUAAUGGCCCAAAAUCUAAAUAAAAACUCAAGAAUAACUACGUACCUGAAACCUAGAACCUCUGUGCGAUUAAAACUGGAUCCAUAUUUGUUUCGAUAAACUGUGUCCAGCUGUAAAAGUAAUAUAAGCAAUUUUAGCAAUUUAUCUUGAGAACUGAAAUGUUGACAAACAAUUUGAGGGAACGUGUUUGACAUAAUGACAAAUAUAAAAACUUAUUUGGGGGAUGAAAUGCCCCUUUAAGAACCUGACAGCUGUACAACUGAAGAUGAACAGUAUUAUUAAAAGAGUGGAAAGUAAAACAGAAUUUACCGCUGUAGCCACAGUACUUGCUAAUGCUUUGAACGCUGGUGAAGAAACAUUUUUCAAAUCUGCUUUGAAGUUUUGCUCCAAUUUGAAGUCCAACUUAACCUCUGGUGGUGGAGGGGCAGGUGUUCUGAUAGUAGUUGAGGAACCAGUUGUAACUGUGGUCAGAGCAACUGUGGUUGUUGUUGGAGUAGCUGUGGUUGUUUUGGGAGGAGCUGUGGUUCUUGUGGGAGCAGCUGUGGUUGUUGUGGGAGCAACUGUGGUUGUUGUGGGAGCAACUGUGGUUGUUGUGGGAGCAACUGUGGUUGUUGUGAGACCAGCUGUGGUUGUUAUUGGAGCAGCUAUGGUUGUUGUUGGAGUAGUUGUGGUUGUUGUAGGAACAGCUAAGGUAGUUGUGGGAGCAGCUGUGGUUGUUGUUGGAGCAGCUGUUGUUGUUAUGAGGGAACCUGUGGUUGUUGUGGGGGCAGCUGUGGUUGUUGUUGGAGCAGCUGUGGUUGUUGUUAGAGCACCUGUGGUUGCUGUUGGAGCAGCUGUUGUUGUUGGAGCAGCUGUGGUUGUUGUUGGACCAGCUGUGGUUGUUGUGAGACCAGCUGUGGUUGUUGUGGGAGCAACUGUGGUUGUUGUGGGAGCAACUGUGGUUGUUGUGGGAGCAACUGUGGUUGUUGUGGGAGCAACUGUGGUUGUUGUGAGACCAGCUGUGGUUGGUGUGAGACCAGCUGUGGUUGGUGUGAGACCAGCUGUGGUUGUUGUGAGACCAGCUGUGGUUGUUGUUGGAGCAGCUAUGGUUGUUAUUGGAGCAGCUGUGGUUGUUGUUGGAGUAGUUAUGGUUGUUGUAGGAAUAGCUGUGGUAGUUGUGGGAGCAGCUGUGGUUGUUGUGGGAGCAACUGUGGUUGUUGUGGGAGCAACUGUUGUUGUUGUGGGAGCAAAUGUGUUUGUUGUUAGACCAGCUGUGGUUGUUGGGGAGCAGCUGUGGUUGUUGUGGGAGCAGCUGUGGUAGUUGUGGGAGCAGCUGUGGUUGUUGUGGGAGCAACUGUGGUUGUUGUGGGAGCAACUGUGGUUGUUGUGAGACCAGCGGUGGUUGUUAGGGGAGCAGCUGUGGUUGUUGUUGGAGCAGCUGUGGUUGUUGUUAGAGCAGCUGUGGUUGUUGUUGGAGCAGCUGUUGUUGUUAUGAGGGAACCUGUGGUUGUUGUGGGGGCAGCUGUGGUUGUUGUUAGAGCAGCUGUGGUUGUUGUUAGAGCAGCUGUGGUUGUUGUUGGAGCAGCUGUUGUUGUUGGAGCAGCUGUGGUUGUUGUUGGACCAGCUGUGGUUGUUGUGAGACCAGCUGUGGUUGUUGUGGGAGCAGCUGUGGUUGUUGUGGGAGCAACUGUGGUUGUUGUGGGAGCAACUGUGGUUGUUGUUGGAGCAGCUGUGGUUGUUGUUGGAGCAGCUGUGGUUGUUGUAAGAGCAGCUAUGGUUGUUAUUGGAGCAGCUGUGGUUGUUGUUGGAGUAGUUAUGGUCGUUGUAGGAAUAGCUGUGGUAGUUGUGGGAGCAGCUGGUAGUUGUGGGAGCAGCUGUGGUUGUUGUUGGACCAGCUGUGGUUGUUGUGAGACCAGCUGUGGUUGUUGUGGGAGCAACUGUGGUUGUUGUGGGAGCAACUGUGGUUGUUGUGGGAGCAACUGUGGUUGUUGUGAGACCAGCUGUGGUUGUUGUGAGACCAGCUGUGGUUGUUGUGAGACCAGCUGUGGUUGUUGUGAGACCAGCUGUGGUUGUUGUUGGAGCAGCUGUGGUUGUUGUUGGAGCAGCUGUGGUUGUUGUUGGAGCAGCUGUGGUCAUUGUAAGAGCAGCUAUGGUUGUUAUUGGAGCAGCUGUGGUUGUUGUUGGAGUAGUUAUGGUCGUUGUAGGAAUAGCUGUGGUAGUUGUGGGAGCAGCUGUGGUUGUUGUGGGAGCAGCUGUGGUUGUUGUGGGAGCAACUGUUGUUGUUGUGGGAGCAAAUGUGUUUGUUGUUAGACCAGCUGUGGUUGUUAGGGGAGCAGCUGUGGUUGUUGCGGGAGCAGCUGUGGUUGUUGUGGGAGCAGCUGUGGUUGUUGUGGAAGCAACUGUGGUUGUUGUGGGAGCAACUGUGGUUGUUAUGAGACCAGUGGUGGUUGUUAGGGGAGCAGCUGUGGUUGUUGUUGGAGCAGUUAUGGUUGUUGUAGCUGCAGCUGUUGUAGUCGUAGCAGCAGCUGAGGUUGUUAUGAGGGAACCUGUGGUUGUUGUGGGGGCAGCUGUGGUUGUUGUUAGAGCAGCUGUGGUUGUUGUUAGAGCAGCUGUUGUUGUUGUUAGAGCAGCUGUGGUUGUUGUUGGAGCAGCUGUGGUUGUUGUAAGAGAAGCUAUGGUUGUUAUUGGAGCAGCUGUGGUUGUUGUUGGAGCAGUAAUGGUUGUAGUAGGUACAGCUAAGGUAGUUGUGGGAGCAGCUGUGGUUGUUGUGGGAGCAGCUGUGGUUGUUGUUGGAGCAGCUGUGGUUGUUGUUGGAGCAGCUGUGGUUGUUGUAAGAGCAGCUAUGUUUGUUAUUGGAGCAGCUGUGGUUGUUGUUGGAGUAGUUAUGGUUGUUGUAGGAACAGCUAAGGUAGUUGUGGGAGCAGCUGUGGUUGUUGUGGGAGCAGCUGUGGUUGUUGUGGGAGCAGCUGUGGUUGUUGUGGGAGCAACUGUGGUUGUUGUGGGAGCAACUGUGGUUGUUGUGGGAGCAACUGUGGUUGUUGUGAGACCAGCUGUGGUUGUUGUUGGAGCAACUGUGGUUGUUGUAAGACCAGCUGUGGUUGUUGUUGGACCAGCUGUGGUUGUUGUUGGAGCAGCUGUGGUUGUUGUAAGAGCAGCUGUGGUUGUUGUAAGAGCAGCUGUGGUUGUUGUUGGAGCAGCUGUGGUUGUUGUUGGAGUAGUUAUGGUUGUUGUAGGAACAGCUAAGGUAGUUGUGGGAGCAGCUGUGGUUGUUGUGGGAGCAGCUGUGGUUGUUGUGGGAGCAGCUGUGGUAGUUGUGGGAGCAACUGUGGUUGUUAUGAGACCAGUGGUGGUUGUUAGGGGAGCAGCUGUGGUUGUUGUUGGAGCAGUUAUGGUUGUUGUAGCUGCAGCUGUUGUCGUCGUAGCAGCAGCUGAGGUUGUUAUGAGGGAACCUGUGGUUGUUGUGGGGGCAGCUGUGGUUGUUGUAAGACCAGCUGUGGUUGUUGUUGGAGCAGCUGUGGUUGUUGUUGGAGCAGCUGUGGUUGUUGUUGGAGUAGUUAUGGUUGUUGUAGGAACAGCUAAGGUAGUUGUGGGAACAGCUGUGGUUGUUGUGGGAGCAGCUGUGGUUGUUGUGGGAGCAGCUGUGGUAGUUGUGGGAGCAACUGUGGUAGUUGUGGGAACAGCUGUGGUUGUUGUGGGAGCAGCUGUGGUUGUUGUGGGAGCAGCUGUGGUAGUUGUGGGAGCAACUGUGGUUGUUGUGGGAGCAACUGUGGUAGUUGUGGGAACAGCUGUGGUUGUUGUGGGAGCAGCUGUGGUUGUUGUGGGAGCAGCUGUGGUAGUUGUGGGAGCAACUGUGGUUGUUGUGGGAGCAACUGUGGUUGUUGUGGGAGCAACUGUGGUUGUUGUGAGACCAGCGGUGGUUGUUAGGGGAGCAGCUGUGGUUGUUGUUGGAGCAGUUAUGGUUGUUAUAGCUGCAGCUGUUGUUGUCGUAGCAGCAGCUGAGGUUGUUAUUAGGGAACCUGUGGUUGUUGUGGGGGCAGCUGUGGUUGUUGUUAGAGCAGCUGUGGUUGUUGUUGGAGCAGUUGUUGUUGUUGGAGCAGCUGUGGUUGUUGUUGGACCAGCUGUGGUUGUUGUGAGAUCAGCUGUGGUUGUUGUAAGACCAGCUGUGGUUGUUGUGGGAGCAACUGUGGUUGUUGUGGGAGCAACUGUGGUUGUUGUGGGAGCAACUGUGGUUGUUGUGGGAGCAACUGUGGUUGUUGUGAGACCAGCUGUGGUUGUUGUGAGACCAGCUGUGGUUGUUGUUGGAGCAGCUGUGGUUGUUGUUGGAGCAGCUGUGGUUGUUGUUGGAGCAGCUGUGGUUGUUGUAAGAGCACCUAUGGUUGUUAUUGGAGCAGCUGUGGUUGUUGUUGGAGUAGUUAUGGUUGUUGUAGGAAUAGCUAAGGUAGUUGUGGGAGCAGCUGUGGUUGUUGUGGGAGCAGCUGUGGUUGUUGUGGGAGCAACUGUGGUUGUUGUGGGAGCAAAUGUGUUUGUUGUUAGACCAGCUGUGGUUGUUGUGGGAGCAGCUGUGGUUGUUGUGGGAGCAGUUGUGGUUGUUGUGGGAGCAGCUGUGGUUGUUGUGGGAGCAACUGUGGUUGUUAUGAGACCAGCGGUGGUUGUUA